rnacentral:lncRNA from 1 species
CAAAAUCACAGAUUACACAAGCCUGAUUGGGUUUUAACGACAUGCAAGUUUUAAAAGCAAACUGGAGAGAGCUGCUCCUGGGUUUCUACCUUCUCCUUGGCCUGUGCCCCUGUGAGCUGUUUUGUUUUCAACAAGCCAACCAUGCAAAGAGCAGGCAAAACCUCACGGGGUUUGGAAUCAGACGCGGUGGGCUGCAAUGGUUCUGUAAUUAAGAGAUUUCAGCCGAGUUCUUUCUCUGGGCCUCAGCGUGCUCAUCUGCAGGAUAGAGAUAACAAACCCUACUUCCUCAGAUUGUAUCUCAGUGUAAUAAUACUCAGGUA